AAGACUACUUUCAGAGAUCAUGUCUAUGGUUCACUACUAGAGAAGUUUCCCUGAAACCAUGAGGAGGAGGCGUAGUGUUCUCUGCAGAGCGCCCAGCUGGUUCUUCUCAGUGUUGUUUCUAAAACUGCCAUUUGUCAUUGGUGAUCCGUCUUCUCUUCCUUCGGGAGAGCAGGAGGGAGAGGACACUGUCUGA
rnacentral:snoRNA from 1 species